GUUAAUAAUUUUUUAUAGAUGCUACAAACAUCAGAUCAUGUAUUCUUUCACAAUGACCAAACUAUCAUGACGUUUGAAUACAAAAUAUAUAUAGACAGCAUGUAAGCUAUUGACAAUAAAACAAUGACAAACAUCAUAUCAAAAUGGAAAACAAACACUGGCAAAAAAACAGAUUUGAUGUUUACGCAGAUUUUCUGCAAACCUGUCAGUAUUACCUUGGGUAUACUGAUGUCCUUAUAACAAAGAAUGAAACAAUCUCUAACACAUGGUAGGACUUGCUCGGAUCUUAACAUCAAUACACAUUCACACAAACACACCAUCAUCUUCACCACACAGUUAUUAAUGUACAAAACACAGUGUCUGCUACAAUUACCACUGAAUAAUGUUUCACCUCCAAGUCAUUGACAGGUAGUGAUUGUUCCUCACGACUGGAUUCUAGGGGUGAAACGAUACAGCCAGGUCACGAUACGAUCCGUAACACGAUACAUAAGUUCACGAUGCGAUGCUAUACGCAUAUUUACGUCAAAUCGCAAGGAAACUUCUUCACAAUAAAUAAUUCAGAGCAGUUUCAAAAGGAAAACCGAGCAGUAGACAUGUUCGUAGCGGCUUUUUUUCAGUAGUGAACUUAAACGCUUAUUACAACACAUCCUGCCAUAUAUGACUGACAAAAACGCCAGGGGUACAAAUAGUGAGUCAUUUAUUUCAGCAAGUGUUUUCAUCUUGUA